UACAGAGGGGGCAAGCGUUGUUCGGAAUUACUGGGCGUAAAGGGCGCGUAGGCGGCCUUCUAAGUCGAACGUGAAAUCCCUGGGCUCAACUCAGGAACUGCGUCCGAUACUGGAAGGCUUGAAUCCGGGAGAGGGAUGUGGAAUUCCAGGUGUAGCGGUGAAAUGCGUAGAUAUCUGGAGGAACACCGGUGGCGAAGGCGACAUCCUGGACCGGUAUUGACGCUGAGGCGCGAAAGCCAGGGGAGCAAACGGG
rnacentral:rRNA from 1 species